rnacentral:rRNA from 1 species
UCAUCGCAUCCUGGGGCUGGAGAAGGUCCCAAGGGUUUGGCUGUUCGCCAAUUAAAGCGGUACGCGAGUUGGGUUCAAAACGUCGUGAGACAGUUUGGUCCCUAUCUGUUGUGGGCGUAGGAUACUUGAGAAGAGCUGCUUCUAGUACGAGAGGACCGAAGUGGACGAACCAAUGGUGUGCCGGUUGUACUGCCAAGUGCAUAGCCGGGUAGCUAUGUUCGGAAAGGAUAAGCGUUGAAAGCAUCUAAACGCCAAGCCUCCUUCAAGAUAAGGUAUCCCAAUGAGACCCCCUGAAGAUGACAGGGUAGAUAGGUUGGGAGUGUAAGCGCAGCAAUGCGUUGAGCUGACCAAUACUAAUCGGUCCAAUGGCUUGAUCAC